ACAUGAUUUUAUUCUAUCCAGAACACAGUACCAUCUUUUCUUAAUUAAUUUACUAAACGAUAAUUUUUUUUUUUGACUCAACUAACAAUAAAUUGUUGCUGUUGUUAAUUUUCUAAUAUAUAUGAUGAAUAUUGAAUACAGUAAAUUAAGAACAGAAAGAAAAAAAAACUGAUUCUGAUUCAUACAAGUAGUAAUUAAAUGCAGCUAUGGCAUAGCAAACAGAGAAGGCUACAUAAAUUUAUAUAUCAUCAUCAUACAGUCAAACAGGAAAAGGAAAAGGAAAAGGAAAAGGGAGAAGUGCUGUUUCAAAGACAUAGUGAACUAGACAACUUAAUUAUCAUAUCUUAUAAUAUGAUAUAUAUUAUAUAAUAUACUAGCUAGAAAAUAAUAAAUUCCCAUGCCUUAUUUGAUUUGAUUCUCACAAAAACUAAACCAACAAACAGAGAUGAAAAGCCAAGCAUCAGACUUGCCUAGAAGGCAUAUAUAUGUAUAAUUCUUGUGCCAUCAUUUAUUUGGCCAUGGCUCCAACAACAUCUUCAUAGCCAAAUACUUCAACUUCAACCUCAUCAUCUUCCUUUUCUGCUGCACUAAUUUGAAGAAGAAAUAAGAAAGGAUAUGAUGGUUGGGAGAUAUAUCUUUGAGACCUAAGUAAGUAUAUAAGGCAGAGAUGGAUGAAGCAAAGGACUUUUAUUUUAUGUUUAAAAAAAGAAAAGUAAUUUGUAUGUUAAACAAUACUCAAAUGCCAUUUCAUAAUAUUU
rnacentral:lncRNA from 1 species